rnacentral:rRNA from 1 species
ACGCUCGACACCUACGGAGGCAGCAGUGGGGAAUAUUGCACAAUGGGGGAAACCCUGAUGCAGCGAUGCCGCGUGAAGGAAGAAGUAUCUCGGUAUGUAAACUUCUAUCAGCAGGGAAGAAAAUGACGGUACCUGACUAAGAAGCCCCGGCUAACUACGUGCCAGCAGCCGCGGUAAUCUGAGCGGGCUGGCAAGGC